rnacentral:rRNA from 1 species
AGAGAGAGACAUGCGCGCAUAUCAAUAAGCGGAGGAAAAGAAACUAACAAGGAUUCCCUUAGUAACGGCGAGUGAAGCGGGAAGAGCUCAAAUUUGAAAUCUUCAAGGUUCUACCUUGACGAAUUGUAGUUUAUAGAAGUGUUUUCUGUUAGUGGAGUGGCAAAAGUUCUUUGGAAUAGGACAUCAUAGAGGGUGAGAAUCCCGUAUUUGACCAUUACUUCCUAGCGUUGUGAUACACUUUCAAAGAGUCGGAUUGUUUGGGAAUGCAGUCCAAAAUGGGUGGUAAAUUUCAUCUAAAGCUAAAUAUUGGCGAGAGACCGAUAGCGAACAAGUACCGUGAGGGAAAGAUGAAAAGAACUUUGAAAAGAGAGUUAAACAGUACGUGAAAUUGUCAAAAGGGAAGCGUUUGACACCAGUGUUGUUUUUCCGAAAAUCAAUUACGAAUGUUUUAUUUUUGAGGAGUUAUGACUUCAUCGGCUUGCUCCUUUCUUUAUGAAACUUUCUUAAUGCACUUUUCGGUUAACAAGUCAACAUCAAUUUCUUUUGUUGUAAAAGGGUAUGAGGAAGGUGGCUUUCUUUUCGGAGAAAGUGUUUAUAGCCUUGUGCCUCUGCAAUCGGAGAGAUUGAGGUCUGCAGCGUAGAUCCUUCGGGGUUAGAUACGUUUGUGCUAAGUUAUAGCUUUUCAUAGACAACUUGUUGACUAUGUUUAGUCUUGUAGCUUACUCGCUGACGCUAUUUUACCUACGCUUAGGAUGUUGAUAGUCACAGCGUGUAC